UUGAUGGACGCGAGGGCAGAUGGGUCUAACUGUCAAGGAUAUUUCUUCUGGUCCCUGAUGGAUAGUUUUGAAUGGGGCAGUGGAUAUGAGUACAAAUUCGGCCUAUACCAAGUGGACUUUGACGACCCAGACAGGAAACGAACCGCUCGGAAAUCCGCGCUAGUGUACAAGGAGAUCAUACGCACUGGGACGAUAGACGUUAGCUACGACCCGGACCCAUACCAACAUAAUGGAUCUGUUUAUUAAAUAUUUCUAGAGCAAAA